AGAGUUUGAUCCUGGCUCAGGAUGAACGCUAGCUACAGGCUUAACACAUGCAAGUCGAGGGGCAGCGGGAUUGAAGCUUGCUUCAAUUGCCGGCGACCGGCGCACGGGUGAGUAACGCGUAUCCAACCUUCCGUACACUCAGGGAUAGCCUUUCGAAAGAAAGAUUAAUACCUGAUGGUAUGAUGAGAUUGCAUGAUAGCAUCAUUAAAGAUUUAUCGGUGUACGAUGGGGAUGCGUUCCAUUAGGUAGUAGGCGGGGUAACGGCCCACCUAGCCGACGAUGGAUAGGGGUUCUGAGAGGAAGGUCCCCCACAUUGGAACUGAGACACGGUCCAAACUCCUACGGGAGGCAGCAGUGAGGAAUAUUGGUCAAUGGACGAGAGUCUGAACCAGCCAAGUAGCGUGAAGGAUGAAGGUCCUACGGAUUGUAAACUUCUUUUAUAAGGGAAUAAACCCUCCCACGUGUGGGAGCUUGUAUGUACCUUAUGAAUAAGCAUCGGCUAACUCCGUGCCAGCAGCCGCGGUAAUACGGAGGAUGCGAGCGUUAUCCGGAUUUAUUGGGUUUAAAGGGAGCGCAGACGGGUCGUUAAGUCAGCUGUGAAAGUUUGGGGCUCAACCUUAAAAUUGCAGUUGAUACUGGCGUCCUUGAGUGCGGUUGAGGUGUGCGGAAUUCGUGGUGUAGCGGUGAAAUGCUUAGAUAUCACGAAGAACUCCGAUUGCGAAGGCAGCACACUAAUCCGUAACUGACGUUCAUGCUCGAAAGUGUGGGUAUCAAACAGGAUUAGAUACCCUGGUAGUCCACACGGUAAACGAUGGAUCACUCGCUGUUGGCGCAUAUACUGUCAGCGGCUUAGCGAAAGCGUU
rnacentral:rRNA from 1 species